rnacentral:rRNA from 1 species
UACAGAGGGUGCAAGCGUUGUUCGGAAUUAUUGGGCGUAAAGGGAGUGUAGGCGGUUUGUUAAGUCUUCUGUGAAAUCCCUGGGCUCAACCUAGGAACUGCAUUCGAAACUGGUCACCUAGAGUGAUGGAGAGGAAAGCGGAAUUCCCGGUGUAGAGGUGAAAUUCGUAGAUAUCGGGAGGAACACCAGUGGCGAAGGCGGCUUUCUGGACAUUUACUGACGCUGAGACGCGAAAGCGUGGGGAGCAAACAGG